UUCGCAAUGCCCGAAAGGGUGACGAAGCGACGCCGCGUGCGGGAAGAAGGCCUUCGGGUUGUAAACCGCUGUCGGGAGUUAGGAAGUGCAAGGAUGUUAAUAGCGUUCUUGCUUGACUAAGGCUCCGGAGGAAGCCACGGCUAACUCUGUGCCAGCAGCCGCGGUAAUACAGAGGCGGCAAGCGUUGUUCGGAAUUAUUGGGCGUAAAGAGCACGUAGGCGGCUGUGUAAGUCGGUUGUGAAAGCCUUCCGCUUAACGGAAGAACGGCAUCCGAUACUGCAUAGCUUGAGUGCGGGAGGGGAGAGUGGAACUUCUGGUGGGGCGGUGAAAUGCGUAGAUAUCAGAAGGAACACCGGCGGCGAAGGCGACUCUCUGGUCCGUAACUGACGCUGAGUGUGCGAAAGCUAGGGGAGCAAACGGGAUUAGAUACCCCGGUAGUCCUAGCCGUAAACGAUGGGCACUAAGUAGAGGGGUUUU
rnacentral:rRNA from 1 species